rnacentral:rRNA from 1 species
UGGGGAAUAUUGCACAAUGGGGGAAACCCUGAUGCAGCGACGCCGCGUGAAGGAAGAAGUAUCUCGGUAUGUAAACUUCUAUCAGCAGGGAAGAAAGUGACGGUACCUGACUAAGAAGCCCCGGCUAAUUACGUGCCAGCAGCCGCGGUAAUACGUAAGGGGCAAGCGUUAUCCGGAUUUACUGGGUGUAAAGGGAGCGUAGACGGAGAGGCAAGUCUGAUGUGAAAGGCAUGGGCUCAACCUGUGGACUGCAUUGGAAACUGUUUUUCUAGAGUGCCGGAGAGGCAGGCGGAAUUCCUAGUGUAGCGGUGAAAUGCGUAGAUAUUAGGAGGAACACCAGUGGCGAAGGCGGCCUGCUGGACGGUAACUGACGUUGAGGCUCGAAAGCGUGGGGAGCAAACA